rnacentral:rRNA from 1 species
AUAUGCCUUAGGGUGGGGGACAACAGUUGGAUAUGACUGCUAAUACCGCAUAACGUCUACGGACCAAAGGGGGCUUCGGCUCUCGCCCUUAGAUUAGCCCAAGUGGGAUUAGCUAGUUGGUGAGGUAAUGGCUCACCAAGGCGACGAUCCCUAGCUGGUUUGAGAGGAUGAUCAGCCACACUGGAACUGAGACACGGUCCAGACUCCUACGGGAGGCAGCAGUGGGGAAUAUUGCACAAUGGGCGCAAGCCUGAUGCAGCCAUGCCGCGUGUGUGAAGAAGGCCUUAGGGUUGUAAAGCACUUUCAGUAAGGAGGAAAGGUUAGUAGUUAAUACCUGCUAGCUGUGACGUCACUUACAGAAGAAGCACCGGCUAACUCCGUGCCAGCAGCCGCGGUAAUACGGAGGGUGCGAGCGUUAAUCGGAAUUACUGGGCGUAAAGCGUACGCAGGCGGUUUGUUAAGCGAGAUGUGAAAGCCCCGGGCUCAACCUGGGGAACUGCAUUUCGAAACUGGCAAACUAGAGUAUGAUAGAGGGUGGUAGAAUUUCAGGUGUACCGGUUGAAAUGCGUACAGAUCUGAAAGGAAUAACCCAAUGGCGAAAGGCACCCACCUUGGGUUCAAUAAC